UACGUAGGAGGCGAGCGUUGUCCGGAAUUACUGGGCGUAAAGAGCGCGUAGGCGGCACGGUACGACCUGUGUGAAAGCCCCCGGCUCAACUGGGGAGGGUCAUUCGAUACUGAUCGACUGGAAGGCAGGAGAGGGAAGCGGAAUUCCCGGUGUAGUGGUGAAAUGCGUAGAUAUCGGGAGGAACACCAGUGGCGAAGGCGGCUUCCUGGCCUGUUCUUGACGCUGAGGCGCGAAAGCUAGGGGAGCAAACGGG
rnacentral:rRNA from 1 species